AUGAACGCUGGCGGCGUGCUUAACACAUGCAAGUCGAACGAAGCACUUUAUUACAAUUACUUCGGUUUGAAGUCUUUUAUGACUGAGUGGCGGACGGGUGAGUAACGCGUGGGUAACCUGCCUCAUACAGGGGGAUAGCAGCUGGAAACGGCUGGUAAUACCGCAUAAGCGCACGGUAUCGCAUGAUACAGUGUGAAAAACUCCGGUGGUAUGAGAUGGACCCGCGUCUGAUUAGCUGGUUGGUGAGGUAACGGCCCACCAAGGCGACGAUCAGUAGCCGACCUGAGAGGGUGACCGGCCACAUUGGGACUGAGACACGGCCCAGACUCCUACGGGAGGCAGCAGUGGGGAAUAUUGCACAAUGGAGGAAACUCUGAUGCAGCGACGCCGCGUGAGUGAAGAAGUAGUUCGCUAUGUAAAGCUCUAUCAGCAGGGAAGAUAGUGACGGUACCUGACUAAGAAGCUCCGGCUAAAUACGUG
rnacentral:rRNA from 1 species